rnacentral:lncRNA from 1 species
CCUGAGUGGUGAAGUUCUCCCAUAAUUAUCUUUGCCUAGGGACUUAGAUUAGAGUUAAAAUACAGAAUGUGAGCUAGGAGUGAGGAUAGGCUAUGGUUUGAUGAAAAACACAAAACUACAAGGACUAAAAUUGGAAUUUAUCUCAAAAAUAGUUGAAGGGCUAAUGUAAUAAUUCCAUUUCUUUUUUUUUCCUUUCCCCCGCAUGAUCUUUGUGGCCCCACCAAUUUAAUAUACUUUUAUAUUUUUCUUUCCCAUUUUUCCACGCCUUUGUCUUUUAACUUUUUCCCUUAUUUCUUCCUCUUCCGCGCCAUUACUUUUAUUUUUUUUUCUAUUCUCUUUUCCUCUUUUCUUCCUCUCCUCUCUUUCUCAACCCUAGCCGCCGUACUCCUGCGCCGCCACCAAUCGGAAAAGCCUUUCCUCUUUCUUUUAAUCCACCGCGUCAUAUCUUUUCAGAACCCACUUGAAAGCCAUUAAAACACCGAAUCGACUUCGACUUUCUCUUGCCCCGAUCUACUGCCUCCGCCGUCAGAUCGACACGGGAUAUCAGGGGAAGCUUCCCUUCCCCGAGAUAUAACCUCUCAAAUAUGUUCUCUCUUCCUCCUUUUUUUUGCUGAUUUUUUCUGCUGUAAUGGUUGUGAAAUGAUGAUUGAGCAGUGUUGGUGAAGGUGGUGGCUAUGGUUUAGAGAGGGGCGGAGAGUGAUCUUGAUGGUGGGCGGUUGGGGGCCUCCGUAGUUAUGAGAUGGUGGAGGUUCUGGGUAGUGAAAUUGCGGUGGAUAUGGGGAAGAUGAUGGGUAUGGUGGGGGAUUGGGCGGCUUUGACUUUGACUCAGUGAGGAUAAGUGAUGGCAAAAAUGUUGAGGUUUAUGGUUAGUUAAUUUAUCGAUGUGUAUGUAGGAUAAUUUGACGUAGGCUUGCAGCUGGCCGAGCUGGCUGGCUCUAGUAUAGCCAGGCAGUAAGUUAUCACAGCUGCAUAAAUCAAACUGGGGCGCCUAACCAGCUCUUGACUGUGAUAGUUUAACCAGUCCAAGAUAGUUUGUCCCCAGACAUACCCUAUACAUGUCAUUGUUUAAUUAUGCUUCUCUUAGGGCAAACGGUUAAUUUCAAUAAUCAUAACCCCGGUCUUUGUUGGAGUUAAUGAAAGAGGUUGACGUCUGCGUCGAUCUAUUUUUUAAUCAAUAUGUUUUCUUGUUUAAAAUCUUAGUUAUUGCAAUUUUUUUGUCCAUGAAGCAUUGCUGGCAGGAAAUAGCGCAACUUCAUCGAAACCAAUCGACAGCUUGUUGAAGAGCAGGAGAACAAGGACACCACUGUUCAAUCUAUUAAAACGAGCAACCGGAUAACACGUUAAUAGCAUCGAUGUCUAUUAACAAAACUGAACUUAAGAUUCAUAAAUAUGGUAAAGACGUGAAGUACAAGACUUAAGUACCAAUAAAUACGACAUAAGGAUACAAAACAUCCUAAGCUCACUUGAAGGAUGUCUUCGGCGUCUAAACACCCGCGGUCGCCUUCACAGUUCUUUAAUCCUGCAACUACAUUGUGAACAUGCUAUGUAAGUAGCCAUCAUUUUGGCAAUUCAAUGUUGAGACAAAACAAUAAUUGAAUAGUCUUUCCAUUUCCGGGAACGCAUUGGGGCGGUAAUCUCGAACCGCCCAAGCCAGCAAAUUGUAAGCUAAGAAGAUCAAGCCCGUAUCUAGCCAUCCAAGAAGUGGGGCCAUUUUUGAACUGACCAAACCAGGAACCAUCCUCGAAAACUACAUGCCUUUCAUUAUUGUUGCUUGUUGAACCACUUUCCAUUUCACUUUUGGACCCUCCAACAGUACCUUCCAUUCUCCAUCACAUCACAGGUUUUGAUAUGUUCCAAGUAAGUAGAAAAAGAAAGAAAAAGAAAGUAG